rnacentral:lncRNA from 1 species
UCUUAUCAACAAUUGUACUAGCCAUUCUCAACAUGGAAGGCGCCACAUGCUCAGAUCUAGCAGCCUCAUUUUUCUUCCCAUUGGAAGAAGUCAUGCCAAUCACAAUCCUCUCGACAGCAGACAGAUCAUCAUGAGCAACAGUGGAAAAGUCUUCAGUUUUCUCUUAACUAACAUCUCUUGAGCAGGCGGGGAAGAUCUCUUCUUUCUACCUUCAUUCAUAGUAAGCUCUACGACAGUGAUCAGACGAGCCAAUGCAUCCGCCUUGAUCAUCUUUACCUCAUCUUUCGGAGGCAGCCUACCUUUCUCCUGACGAAGAGGA